rnacentral:rRNA from 1 species
GAUGAACGCUAGCGGCAGGCUUAAUACAUGCAAGUCGUGGGGCAGCGCAGUGUAGCAAUACGUGGGCGGCGACCGGCAAACGGGUGCGUAACACGUACGCAACCUUCCCGUUACUGGGGAAUAGCCCAGGGAAACUUGGAUUAAUACCCCAUAUUAUAUUGAUUGGGCAUCUAAUUAAUAUCAAAGCUUCGGCGGUAACGGAUGGGCGUGCGGUUGAUUAGGUAGUUGGCGGGGUAACGGCCCACCAAGCCUACGAUCAAUAGCUGAUGUGAGAGCAUGAUCAGCCACACGGGCACUGAGACACGGGCCCGACUCCUACGGGAGGCAGCAGUAAGGAAUAUUGGGCAGUGGACGAAAGUCUGACCCAGCCAUGCCGCGUGGAGGAUGAAGGUCCUCUGGAUUGUAAACUUCUUUUUUCUGGGGCGAAAACCGGUUUUUCUAAACCAUUUGACAGUACCAGAAGAAUAAGCACCGGCUAACUCCGUGCCAGCCGCCGCCGUAAAAC